rnacentral:rRNA from 1 species
GGGGAGUAUGCUCGCAAGGGUGAAACUCAAAGGAAUUGACGGGGGCCCGCACAAGCGUUGGAGCAUCUGGUUUAAUUCGAUGAUACGCGAGAAACCUUACCAGGGCUUGACAUAUACUCGACGGUUGUAGAGAUACAGCUUCCCUUCGGGUCGGGUAUACAGGUGCUGCAUGGCUGUCGUCAGCUCGUGCUCUGAACUGUUGGUUUAAUCCUCGCAACGAGCGCAACCCCUGCUACCUGUUGCCAGCAUUCAGUUGGGGACUCAGGUGGAACAGCCGGUGACAAACCGGAGGAAGGUGGGGACGACAUCAAGUCAUCAUGGCCCUUAUGUCCUGGGCUACACACGUGCUACAAUGGCCGGUACAGAGUGACGCGAUACCGCGAGGUGGAGCAAAUCGCAGNAAGCCGGUCUCAGUACAGAUUGGAGUCUGAACCCGACUUCAUGAAGUGGGAUCGCUAGUAUCGCGAUCCGCAUGCGCAGUGAUACGUCCCGGGCAUGUACACACCGCCGUACACCACCCGAGUGGGGUACCCGAGUCGCUCGUCUACCUGUCAAAGGG